rnacentral:rRNA from 1 species
UCCAGACUCCUACGGGAGGCAGCAGUGAGGAAUAUUGGUCAAUGGGCGUAAGCCUGAACCAGCCAAGUCGCGUGAGGGACGACGGCCCUACGGGUUGUAAAUCUCUUUUGCCGGGGGACAAACGGCGGCACGCGUGCCGUCCUGAGGGUACCCGGAGAAAAAGCAUCGGCUAACUCCGUGCCAGCAGCCGCGGUAAUACGGAGGAUGCGAGCGUUAUCCGGAUUUAUUGGGUUUAAAGGGUGCGUAGGCGGGAUGCCAAGUCAGCGGUAAAAAUGCGGUGCUCAACGCCGUCGAGCCGUUGAAACUGGCGUUCUUGAGUGGGCGAGAAGUAUGCGGAAUGCGUGGUGUAGCGGUGAAAUGCGUAGAUAUCACGCAGAACUCCGAUUGCGAAGGCAGCAUACCGGCGCCCUACUGACGCUGAGGCACGAAAGCGUGGGUAUCGAACAGGAUUAGAUACCCUAGUAA